CGGCGACCCAGCGUCCAGAGCCCACGCCGACGCUGCCCGGAGCUGAAGACCAGCAACCUGACGCUACAACCCAAGCCGCUCCACCCUGCCGACGCCCAGCAGCCCGCGCCUACGCUGCUCUUCGCUCAAACACCAGCAGCACCGUCCCGAAUACCUGCACUCGCAACCGCGCCUCUGCACGCCUGCGACCCAGCCACGACGCCGCUCCUGCUGUCCCUCAUCCCGUCCGUCUGUGAAGCUGCCGCUGCCCGACGCCAUUGCUCUCCAUCGCCGCUCAGUCCCUCGCGACACCAGCAGCCCGUGAAGCCACCGUCUCUGCCCGCGCCUGCACUUCCGCCCCGGUGCCCCAAGCUGCUCCGCCCUUGCUGCCUCGCUUUCCUCUGCCCGACACCGCUGCACGCCGUUGCAACAACCGCUCGAG
rnacentral:lncRNA from 1 species